GGGGAUUUAGCUCAGUGGUAGAGCGCUUGCCUAGCAAGCACAAGGCCCUGGGUUCUGUCUCCAGCUCCUCCA
rnacentral:tRNA from 1 species